rnacentral:rRNA from 1 species
UACGUAGGGUGCAAGCGUUAAUCAGAAUUACUGGGCGUAAAGCGUGCGCAGGCGGUUCUAUAAGACAGAUGUGAAAUCCCCGGGCUCAACCUGGGAACUGCAUUUGUGACUGUAGAGCUGGAGUACGGUAGAGGGGGAUGGAAUUCCGCGUGUAGCAGUGAAAUGCGUAGAUAUGCGGAGGAACACCGAUGGCGAAGGCAAUCCCCUGGACCUGUACUGACGCUCAUGCACGAAAGCGUGGGGAGCAAACAGG